AUUGAACGCUGGCGGCAGGCCUAACACAUGCAAGUCGAGCGGAUGACGGGAGCUUGCUCCUUGAUUCAGCGGCGGACGGGUGAGUAAUGCCUAGGAAUCUGCCUGGUAGUGGGGACAACGUUUCCAAAGGAACGCUAAUACCGCAUACGUCCUACGGGAGAAAGCAGGGGACCUUCGGGCCUUGCGCUAUCAGAUGAGCCUAGGUCGGAUUAGCUAGUUGGUGGGGUAAUGGCUCACCAAGGCGACGAUCCGUAACUGGUCUGAGAGGAUGAUCAGUCACACUGGAACUGAGACACGGUCCAGACUCCUACGGGAGGCAGCAGUGGGGAAUAUUGGACAAUGGGCGAAAGCCUGAUCCAGCCAUGCCGCGUGUGUGAAGAAGGUCUUCGGAUUGUAAAGCACUUUAAGUUGGGAGGAAGGGCAGUAAGCUAAUACCUUGCUGUUUUGACGUUACCGACAGAAUAAGCACCGGCUAACUCUGUGCCAGCCGCCGCCGUAAAAC
rnacentral:rRNA from 1 species